rnacentral:rRNA from 1 species
AUUGAACGCUGGCGGCAGGCCUAACACGUGCAAGUCGAGCGGAUGAAGGGAGCUUGCUCCUGGAUUCAGCGGCGGACGGGUGAGUAAUGCCUAGGAAUCUGCCUGGUAGUGGGGGAUAACGUCCGGAAACGGGCGCUAAUACCGCAUACGUCCUGAAGGAGAAAGUGGGGGAUCUUCGGACCUCACGCUAUCAGAUGAGCCUAGGUCGGAUUAGCUAGUUGGUGGGGUAAAGGCCUACCAAGGCGACGAUCCGUAACUGGUCUGAGAGGAUGAUCAGUCACACUGGAACUGAGACACGGUCCAGACUCCUACGGGAGGCAGCAGUGGGGAAUAUUGGACAAUGGGCGAAAGCCUGAUCCAGCCAUGCCGCGUGUGUGAAGAAGGUCUUCGGAUUGUAAAGCACUUUAAGUUGGGAGGAAGGGCAGUAAGUUAAUACCUUGCUGUUUUGACGUUACCAACAGAAUAAGCACCGGCUAACUUCGUG